AACGAACGCUGGCGGCAUGCCUUACACAUGCAAGUCGAACGGCAGCGGACCUUCGGGUGCCGGCGAGUGGCGAACGGGUGAGUAAAGUAUCGGAACGUACCUUUCAGUGGGGGAUAACGUAGCGAAAGUUACGCUAAUACCGCAUAUUCUGUGAGCAGGAAAGCAGGGGAUCGCAAGACCUUGCGCUGAUUGAGCGGCCGAUAUCAGAUUAGCUAGUUGGUGAGGUAAAGGCUCACCAAGGCGACGAUCUGUAGCGGGUCUGAGAGGAUGAUCCGCCACACUGGAACUGAGACACGGUCCAGACUCCUACGGGAGGCAGCAGUGGGGAAUUUUGGACAAUGGGGGCAACCCUGAUCCAGCCAUGCCGCGUGAGUGAAGAAGGCCUUCGGGUUGUAAAGCUCUUUCGUCCGGGAAGAAAUCGCAUCAGCUAAUACCUGGUGUGGAUGACGGUACCGGAAUAAGAAGCACCGGCUAACUACGUGCCAGCCGCCGCGGUAAAAC
rnacentral:rRNA from 1 species